ensembl:ncRNA B0511.18 ncRNA
CACAAGUUGUUUCUUCAAGUCAACAUCAUAUUGCACAAGGACACGAAGAUACAUCACAAGGAGCUGUUCACACAUUUCAGGAUGAAGAUGGU